rnacentral:lncRNA from 1 species
GCUUCUCGCUGGAGUGCGCACCGAGCGGCAGUGACUUCGCCGCUGCUGUAGUUCCCCGGCUGGAUGCGGUGACUGGUGCCAGUGCUCAGGCGCCCGCUGCCCUUGACCUCCCGCCCCGCGAGCCCUAACUCAGCGCAGGAGGACCGGCUGCCGCCGCCGCCGCCGCCAGAGCCUUGGCUGCCCAGUUGCCAGUCCUACCACGGUCGGAGGUAACCUUCCUGGCUCCAGUCACAUGGCCAGAUAAGGUGGUGUGUGUGGGCAUGAAUUAUGUGGACCACUGCAAAGAACAGAACGUGCCCGUGCCCAAGGAGCCCAUCAUCUUCAGCAAGUUUGCCAGCUCCAUCGUGGGGCCCUAUGAUGAGGUGGUCCUCCCACCACAGAGCCAGAUCCACACAACUUAAAGAUCUGCUGUCGAGUGAAUGGGGAAGUGGUCCAGAGCAGCAACACCAACCAGAUGGUAUUCAAGACAGAGGACCUGAUAGCCUGGGUGUCCCAGUCUCUGAAGGUCCAGACAGCACUGAUGGCGAGCUUUGGGUCCGCACACUCUGGAAAGAAGAGAGAAGUGAAGGCUCUAGGUAGGGAGAACAGAGAGCCACUGGGCACAGGCUUCUCUCCUCUUGUUUAAAGAAGCCCAGGGAGGGAUAGAGCUCUGACUGGACAGAAGACUGUACUCUGCAGCCUGCCUUCCUAGAGUUGGGUUGUCACUGUCCUGCAGGGGGCAGCAGCCACCAGCAAACACCACUGCCUGCAGGAGCCUGGGCUGACUGGUUGGGACUCACCGAAGAUCCCUUCUUCCUGGGCGGUGGCCUGCAGGAACUGGAACAGCUGCUCUGUGUAGCCCAACUCUGCAGAAGAGAGAAGACCUAGACCUGGCACCCAGCACAGACACAGCCUGCCUCGAGGACUGCAAGGGAACAAGGGCCUCACCAGUAUCGGGCAGCUGGCCCUGGCGGAGGAAGGCGGCAGCCUGUGCAAAGGCCUUGAGCAGCGGGCUGAGCAGGCGGCAGAGGAAAAGAAAGAAAUCUGGGCAGUGUGACUGCUGGCUGAGCUGGAGGGGACAGGCCGGGGUGAGUGCAGCUCCCCACCGCCUCCCUACCACCUCCCUCCAGGGGCAGCUUUUUGAAACACACCCUGAAGUACCGGCCGUCAGCCUCUCCGAAGUCAUCACUGUCACUAUCAGUAAAGUCCCCACUCGGUUUCCACA